rnacentral:rRNA from 1 species
GACGAACGCUGGCGGCGUGCUUAACACAUGCAAGUCGAACGGAAAGGCCCUGCUUUUGUGGGGUGCUCGAGUGGCGAACGGGUGAGUAACACGUGAGUAACCUGCCCUUGACUUUGGGAUAACGUCAGGAAACUGGGGCUAAUACCGGAUAGGAGCUCCUGCUGCAUGGUGGGGGUUGGAAAGUUUCGGCGGUUGGGGAUGGACUCGCGGCUUAUCAGCUUGUUGGUGGGGUAGUGGCUUACCAAGGCUUUGACGGGUAGCCGGCCUGAGAGGGUGACCGGCCACAUUGGGACUGAGAUACGGCCCAGACUCCUACGGGAUGCAGCAGUGGGGAAGAUUGCACGAUGGGCGGAAGCAUGAUGCAGCAACGCCGCGUGCUGGAUGACGGCCUUCGGGUUGUAAACCGUUUUCGCCUGUGACGAAGCGUGAGUGACGGUAAUGGGUAAAGAAGCACCGGCUAACUACGUG